rnacentral:rRNA from 1 species
GCUGGCAACUAGCUCUCUGCAACUCUCACAUGGUCGCCCACUGAAGCUAAGCAGAGCUGCGCCCCAUCAGUACCUGGAUGGGAGACCACAUGGGAAAGCUAGGUUGCUGCUGGAA